CUGUAGUUAAUUAAGCUGACUGAUUGGAUUCCUUUACUAAUGGUAACCCACUGUGUAAGGCUGCAAACAGCAGUAUCUUUAGUAUAUAUGUGGCCUGUUGCUUGAAUGGGUUGCCCUAAGAGACCUUGCAGACAGUG
ensembl:snoRNA SNORA70 Small nucleolar RNA SNORA70